GAGACACAGAGAGGAGAGGAGAGGAGUAGCAGAAGCUAAGCCACGAAGAAAUAAAAUAGCAGGAAAGUAGAAAUAAACCAGCUAAAUUAGCUGACGAAUUCAGUAUGAAAGAUGAUGGAAACCUACCGGUUCGGUUUACUUUUUGACGGUGUGUUGCUCCGGUGGUAAACGAGUCGGGUGGUGUUUUCAUCUAUUGAUGCUCCGACUGGUUUUUUGACUGGAUUAGAUACUUGGAUUAAGUUUCUGCUGAACGCGAUGGCGAGCCAGACCCAGCGAGAACUUCUGGAGAGGAACGUUUGAGGCAGUGUGGCCAGCUGUUUCAACCGUCGUUGGAAGAAUCAACUGUGUUGUUUCCAAGGAUUUCCAGAUAAGGAACAAUCAGAACUACACACAUUUAUCCUACCCGGGUAGAGUAGAGGUAAAGAGAGAAAACUUUAAUGAACAAGUGACACAAGGAGGGACACAAACCAAGGAGACCCCCAAGAGAGACAUUCAGGACAUUUUCUGUUUUAUUUUACUGUUUAUUUUCUUAUGCAAAGAGACUCUAUUUUGUGUUUUUGGGGUUUUCUAACUUUUUUAUAUUGUACUGUAACACAAUUGUUUAUUGUGUUAAAUUGCAAUAAAUCUGCCGGCUGUUAUAAA